AGAGUACUCCCUCCGUUCGGAAUUACUUGUCGCAGAAAUGGAUGUAUCUAGACGUAUUUUAGUUCUAGAUACAUCCAUUUCCGAGACAAGUAAUUCCGAACGGAGGGAGUAGAUA
rfam:Triticum aestivum genome assembly, contig: Triticum_aestivum_CS42_TGACv1_scaffold_559087_7AL